rnacentral:rRNA from 1 species
ACUCAAAUGAAUUGACGGGGGCCCGCACAAGCGGUGGAGCAUGUGGUUUAAUUCGACGCAACGCGCAGAACCUUACCAGGGUUUGACAUCCCAAGACCGCCUCGUAACGGAGGUUUUCCCGCAAGGGACUUGGAGACAGGUGCUGCAUGGCUGUCGUCAGCUCGUGUCGUGAGAUGUUGGGUUAAGUCCCGCAACGAGCGCAACCCUCGCCUUUAGUUGCCAUCAUUAAGUUGGGCACUCUAGAGGGACCGCCGGCGACAAGCCGGAGGAAGGUGGGGAUGACGUCAAGUCCUCAUGGCCCUUACACCCUGGGCUACACACGUGCUACAAUGGCGGUGACAGUGGGCAGCUACUCGGCGACGAGCGGCUAAUCCCAAAAAACCGUCCCAGUUCAGAUUGUACUCUGCAACUCGAGUACAUGAAGGUGGAAUCGCUAGUAAUCGCAGAACAGCAGGCUGCGGUGAAUACGUUCCCGGGCCUUGCACACACCGCCCGU